rnacentral:rRNA from 1 species
CAGCCGCCGCGGGAAUACGAGGGGGGCAAGCGUUGUUCGGAUUUAUUGGGCGUAAAGGGUGCGUAGGCGGUUUGGCAAGUCUUGUGUGAAAUCUAUGGGCUCAACCCAUAGUCUGCACGGGAAACUGUCGGGCUUGAGAAUGGGAGAGGUGAGUGGAAUUUCCGGUGUAGCGGUGAAAUGCGUAGAUAUCGGAAGGAACACCUGUGGCGAAAGCGGCUCACUGGACCAUUUCUGACGCUGAUGCACGAAAGCUAAGGGAGCAAACAGGAUUAGAUACCCCAGUAGUCCCUGUCUCUUAUCC